UUCAUAUGUAGGUGCAUACUUGUGCUCAUUCACAUGGACUUUGACUAUCUUUCUUAAAUUUCUUUGAUUUUUCUAAUUUUUGUAUCUAAUUUUGAAUUUCUAGGCCCUAAAACAAGAUUCGACAUGCCGUCAACAAUGCUAACAGAAUCCUCCAGGAUGAUGGAAUAUACGAAGCUGUUGCAGGAAGUGACGUUGUCAUUACUAGAGGUUCAUUUUGAGAGGACUCUUCAAAGUACUACAUAAAUGAGUGUAGAAGUAAUUUUACAGAGGUCACUAAGAAAUUGAAAGGAAAAGGAGUGGACUUGGACUACAAUCGAUUUUUUAUUCUUCAGGGUGAAGUCGAGCAAAUUUCUCUAAUGAAGUCAAAGAUUUGUAUUUUCAGCAUUAUUGUAAUUGUAAAUGUAAUUGAUUGAAUAAAGGAUUGUAAUUGCAAUUGAUUGAAUGAAGGAUUGUAAUUGAUUG